UGGGGAAUAUUGCACAAUGGGGGAAACCCUGAUGCAGCGACGCCGCGUGAAGGAAGAAGUAUUUCGGUAUGUAAACUUCUAUCAGCAGGGAAGAAGAUGACGGUACCUGAGUAAGAAGCACCGGCUAAAUACGUGCCAGCAGCCGCGGUAAUACGUAUGGUGCAAGCGUUAUCCGGAUUUACUGGGUGUAAAGGGAGCGUAGACGGAUAGGCAAGUCUGGAGUGAAAACCCAGGGCUCAACCCUGGGACUGCUUUGGAAACUGCAGAUCUGGAGUGCCGGAGAGGUAAGCGGAAUUCCUAGUGUAGCGGUGAAAUGCGUAGAUAUUAGGAGGAACACCAGUGGCAAAGGCGGCUUACUGGCCGGUGACUGACGUUGAGGCUCGAAAGCGUGGGGAGCAAACAGA
rnacentral:rRNA from 1 species